rnacentral:lncRNA from 1 species
UCCCCGAUCCUUCCUUCCGUCCUUCCUUCCCUUUCCCCUUCCCAAGUCCUUUGCCCCUCAGCUCCCAAGCAAACAUCUUCAUAUAAACUCAAGUGCCUGCUACACAUACAACACUGAAAACAAAACAAAACAAAAAGCAAACCAACAAAAUUCCCACAAAACAACGACCUGUAAGGCAGUUCGGCUUAUAUAUAUUUAUAGAUAUCUCUCUAUAUAUAACUUCCACACCAAUACAGAAAGAAGCUGCUGUUACAGAAAAAUUAUAAGACUUAAAAAAAAAAAAAGGGAGAAAAAGUACUUAAAAUAUAUAUAUAAUUUAAAAAAGAAAAAAAGGAAAGAAAGAAAGGAGAAGGUAUCUUUCCCCUGAGCAACGAAGCAGUGAGUUGACAUCCUGCUGUGAGUAUGGCUCGGGCUGCUGGGCAGGGCUCGAGUCUGGCUACGGCAGCAAUGCCAGCCUGAGUAGGUGCUCUGGGAGGAAAGCCCUGCCCUGGUUGUAUGAUAUGCACUGAAUGUGUGAAAUCAGUCCUCCCUUCUUGUCCUUGCCUCCCUUCCUUCUUCCCAGCCCACAGGUGAUGGGCACAAAGACAGGGCAGUGCCCCUGGACAAAUUCUCUUUUACCAAACCUUUCCUUCCCUCUCCGUCCUUCCCCGUCUCUCUCUGCCUUUUUCCUCCCUUCGACAUUUCAGGACAAUUUUUCUAAUUUGCUGAUUCUUAACUGUAUAGACUCAAGGCUUUCAAACACACAGUCAAAGGAUUGUGGCACCUACGGGUAUAACACACAAUGGGAACCAGCUGCCCUCCCGCAGCCAGCGCAUCGGAUGGGCCCAGCCCUCCCUCCUCCUCUACAGCAGAACUGAAAGAACCUCCACGGGCUGAGGGGGGUCCUGGAGACCCAUUCCUGAUUCAUCCCAACCCACUGUGGCAUGUGAGACAGGAGCGCCGUUCGUCUCAGUGCCCAGUGGAGAUGGCAACGUUGGGAGGAACCCCCCCAUGCCCCAUCCCUGCCUUUUCUCCCCACCUUUCAUUUUUGUUGGGGCCAUGGGAUUGUUACCAAGCCACAGCCAAAUUAGUGCAGACCCUCAGCACGGUUUGCAGCCUUGGAACGGUCAAGAUGAUUUGCAGCACCUGAGGAUUUGCAGUCCCCUUCCAGAAGGUCUUCCCAAAGGUGGAGUUACCCCCAUUGCAAUUAUGCCAUUUUAAAUAGAGCUGCGACCUUCACAUCUUAAAAGGGACAGCAGUAACUGCUGCACACAAGAAAAAGCACCGGGAUGAAAGAGGUACGCUUGUGUCAAUAAACAGCAGAAAACAGCCCCA